GCGCUGCCCUUUGCCGGCAGCCACCCGGGCUCUGCCUCCACAGUAGCAACCUCUGCUUUUCCUAAAUGACAAAGAAACCGCAAGGCAUUCCUUCCCUAAUUCUUCCCUGGCGAAGCGGCGAGAUCGGCCAGAGCUCGCAGAGCUUCCAGUACAUUUGCUACACACUGUGAAGAUACAGACUGGCUGCAAUACCCUUUUCCAAAGGUGCAGCUUGGUUUCACACACGGCACAAAUUCAGCAGCAAUUCCUCAGGCAAAACUCCUCCUGAUGAAGAACUGCAGCAUUGGGGGUCACUGAGAACCAGGUUUGCUUUCCAAGAAUCAUGAGGUAAGUAAAACACGCUUGAAACCAGCCAAAGACUGCCGAGCAGGUACAGUACAAGAGUACAAAAUGAAGCAAAAAGAGUGAUUUUGGCAAUAGCAGUAGCAUAAAGGUAUUUACUCUAAGUCUAGUCCAAAAAACAAACACUGGAAACAGGUAAUACCUAAUACUCACUUUCCUGGCACGGGCGCUUUGAGUUUUGUUGCCAGUCUUAAAAAAUGGUUAAAAUUGCUUGCUUGGGUGAAUAUUAGCAGGGGAAUGACAUACUACCUCCCAGACAAAUAAGAAUAAAUAAAGCAGCAUUUAUGUAGGAAGGAAAAAGAGAAGGCAGUCUUAGGAACAAGACUGGAAAAAGCACAAAUGCACAGAGGCAGAAAAGGGGAGGCCAAACCAGCGCUUAUUUACUACCAACGAGAAUGAAAACAACCCCACAGCCCUGCACAUAAAGGGCAUUUCCAGUCUGAUCUUUGCAAUUCUGCUCAGAAAGUUUGAAAUUCUCUGGUACCUUACACUGAAAGUACCAGAGCCCCCCAGGCAGAAGCAAACAGGAGCGGGAGGAAAGCUGCUCCAGCCACUUCUGGAUGCAACCUUGGAUUGCAGGAAGACAAUAGAGGCUGGUUGCUGUGCUCUACCUUGCCGGUUGCUCCCAAUCCUCAGAAGCAAAUGAGUAACUGAUCUUAAAUAAUACAGAACAAA